ACCACAUGAGAAGGAAGAAAAGACAAUAUUUGCAAUACCUGAGUGGGUUUGGUAGGAUAAGCCCUUCUCUUAACAGGCAGGGGGUUAGAGGUGCACUGAUACAUUGAUCCCAUAUCGGAUCAGCAUUGAUAUAGGGAAUAUUGACAGUAUUGGAAAACAGCCUUUUUUUCCUGAUGUGGCUGAUAAUGUGGCUGAUAAAUGGCUCGUUCAUGCACACAGCCAGGAGCACAGCCCGGCGGCUUGGAGAGCAGCAUCAGGAGGUGCCAGCCUCACAACUUAGCCAUCCUUACACUCUCCUCCCCAACCCCUACAAGGUCUUCAUUUCACCACCGGAAGGGCACACACCAACUGCUGCAGCUUCCUGAGC